rnacentral:rRNA from 1 species
CGUACACUCCUACGGGAGGCAGCAGUGGGGAAUUUUGGACAAUGGGCGAAAGCCUGAUCCAGCCAUGCCGCGUGCAGGAUGAAGGCCUUCGGGUUGUAAACUGCUUUUGUACGGAACGAAACGGCCUUUUCUAAUAAAGAGGGCUAAUGACGGUACCGUAAGAAUAAGCACCGGCUAACUACGUGCCAGCAGCCGCGGUAAUACGUAGGGUGCAAGCGUUAAUCGGAAUUACUGGGCGUAAAGCGUGCGCAGGCGGUUAUGUAAGACAGUUGUGAAAUCCCCGGGCUCAACCUGGGAACUGCAUCUGUGACUGCAUAGCUAGAGUACGGUAGAGGGGGAUGGAAUUCCGCGUGUAGCAGUGAAAUGCGUAGAUAUGCGGAGGAACACCGAUGGCGAAGGCAAUCCCCUGGACCUGUACUGACGCUCAUGCACGAAAGCGUGGGGAGCAAACAGGAUUAGAUACCCGGGUAGUCCCA